GCAUGGGAGGCGAAAUGCUCUGUUCUCCAAGAGGACCCGGAAGUAAUCACAUAGGAAAUGAUAAGGAAGACCAGGAGGAGCUCUUCAUAGUCCAGAAAGGUUCUUAUUGAUUGACCACAAGCAGAUCUUCCACCCUCGGAUCUCUAACUACAAAAGGAACCACUGGCUCAAUGACCUGUAAGGGUCAUUUCAGCACAUCCAUUCUGUCCAUCUCCAAGCCUUCACCAUAGGGAAGAACUUUUGCUCUCAGUCACCUCUCAGAGAGCUCUCUUUAUAGCUGAAGGUCCCUCUCAUGAGUUACAUCAAGAGUAACCUACAAUUAUACCAGCAGUACACAGCCAUGGCCCCCAAGCUACUGGCCCGCAUCUCCAAACUCCUCAUGAUCUGCCAGAAUGCAGGCAUUUCUAUACCAAAGGGCAUCAGAAACAUCUUUGAGUUCACUUGGGAAGAGCUCAUCAGUGACCCUUCAGUGCCUACCCCGUCCGACAUCUUGGGCCUGGAGGUCAGCUUUGGAGCCCCCCUGGUGGUGCUCAUGGAACCCACCUUUGUGCAGGUCCCCACACUGAAGAAGCCACUACCUCCACCACCACCAGCACCACCAUAUCCAGUGCUGCUGGCAACCACUGCCAAGCGCUCCACCCUCUCUCCCACCAUGGCCCGUCAGGCGCACGCCCAGCAGGAGACCCUGAACAGGUUUCAGCAGCAGUCCAUCCACCUGCUGACGGAGCUCCUCAAACUGAAGAUGAAGGCCAUGGUGGAGUCUAUGUCGGUGGGUGCCAACCCCUUGGACAUCACCAGGCGCUUUGUGGAGGCCAGCCAGCUCCUCCACCUCAAUGCCAAGGAGAUGGCCUUCAACUGCCUGAUCGGCACAGCUGGGAGAAGUGGCUACAGCAGCGGACAGUUGUGGAAAGAGUCCCUCGCAAACAUAUCUGCCAUUGGGGUGAACUCGCCUUACCAGCUGAUCUACCACUCUUCCACAGCCUGUCUGAGCUUUUCCCUCUCUACUGGAAAAGAAGUCAAGAAGAAAAUAGGAAAAUCUAGAACUAUAGAAGAUGUCAGCAUGCCGCCCCCGCAUCGAGGAGUGGGAACCCCUGCCAACAGCCUGGAGUUCAGCGACCCCUGCCCUGAGGCCCGGGAGAAGCUGCAGGAGUUGUGUCGCCACAUAGAAGCCGAAAGGGCCACGUGGAAAGGGAGGAAUAUCUCCUACCCCAUGAUCUUACGAAACUACAAGGCAAAGAUGUCCUCUCAUCUAAUGAUGGCCCGCAAAGGAGACUCUCAGACCCCGGGUUUACAUUACCCUCCCACCGCAAGUGCUCAGACUCUCACCCCCACACCUCACCCAUCAUCUGCCAACCAUCUCGUCAGUCGGCAUUGUCAAGAAGGGAAGGCGCCCAAGAAGGCCUUCAAGUUUCAUUACACCUUCUAUGACGGCUCCUCCUUUGUUUACUAUCCCUCUGGAAACAUCGCUAUAUGUCAGAUCCCCACAUGCUGCAGAGGGAGAACCAUCACUUGCCUCUUUAAUGACAUACCUGGCUUCUCCUUGCUGGCCCUAUUCAAUGCUGAAGGUCAGGGCUGUGUUCACUACAACCUAAAAACCAGUUGCCCAUAUGUCUUAAUCUUGGAUGAGGAAGGUGGGACCACCAAUGACCAGCAGGGCUAUGUAGUCCACAAAUGGAGCUGGACUUCCAGGACAGAGACUCUGCUUUCCCUGGAAUACAAGGUGAAUGAGGAAAUGAAGCUAAAGGUGCUGGGACAGGACUCCAUCACGGUCACCUUCACCUCCCUGAAUGAGACAGUAACACUUGCUGUGUCGGCAAACAACUGUCCUCAUGGAAUGGCAUAUGACAAACGGCUGAACCGCAGAAUCAGCAACAUGGACGACAAGGUGCACAAGAUGAACCGAGCCCUGGCUGAGAUCAAGAAGCGGUUUCAGAAGACAGUAACUCAGUUCAUUAACUCUGUCUUGCUGGCCGCAGGUCUGUUUACCAUUGAAUAUCCCACCAAAAAGGAAGAGGCAGAAUUUGUUCGGUUCAAGAUGAAAUCUGGAACUCAUCCCGAGCGGCUCCCCAAGCUAAAUUUAUACUCAGGAGAAAAUCUUUUACGAUCUCCGUCAGGCCAACUGGAAUCCUCAAUUGCAGAGACUUUGAAGGAUGAGCCUGAGUCUGCUUCUGUGAGCCCAGUUUGGAAGAAGACCACCAAAAUCCACACCAAAGCCAAGGUCACCUCCAGAGGGAAGGCCCGCGAGGGGCGCAGCCCCACCAGGUGGGCGGCCUCGCCCUCAGACUGCCCACUGGUGCUGCGGAAGCUCAUGCUUAAGGAAGACGCCCGUGCUGGCUGCAGGUGCCUGGUGAAGGCACCCCUGGUCUCUGACGUGGAGCUGGAGCGCUUCCUGCUGGCACCCCGAGACCCCAGCCAGGUGCUGGUAUUUGGAAUCAUCUCAAGCCAGAACUACACCAGCACUGGGCAGCUCCAGUGGCUGCUGAACACGCUCUACAGCCACCAGCAGCGGGGCCGCGGCUCCCCCUGCAUCCAGUGCCGGUAUGACUCCUACCGCCUGCUGCAGUAUGACCUGAACAGCCCCCUGCAGGAGGACCCUCCCCUGAUGGUGAAGAAGAACUCUGUGGUGCAGGGAAUGAUUCUGGUGAGCCAGCAGGGACUUGCCAUCCACUGCCUGCCACCCAGCUGCAGCUACCUCUGCUCCUGUAGAAUCACACAUGUGGGAGGAGGAGGAGAGAGGAGAAGAAGGGAGGGGCUGUGGAAUUAUCUCCCCACCCUGGCUGAGGCCCAGAGAGCAGGAAGACUGACCAAGAGUCACCCAGCACACAGAGCUGGGGCUGGAGCCCAGGACCCCAUGUGUCCCCCAUCCCAGGAGACUGAAGGGACAGAUGUUUGCCGGGGGAAAGCUCCUUUUUGGGGGCCGUGUUUUGAAUGGAUAUGGCCUCAGCAAGCAGAAUCUGCUGAAACAGAUCUUCCGGUCUCAACAGGAUUGCAAGAUGGGCUACUUCCUGCCGGACGACUACAAAUUCAAUGUUCCCAGCUCUGUCCUGAGCCUGGAGGAUUCUGAAUCAGCCAAGAAAGCCGAGCCAGAAGAUAUCCAAGGAAGCAGCUCCUCAUUGGCCCUGGAAGACUAUGUGGAGAAGGAGUUACCUCUGGAGGCUGAGAAGGCAAGAGAGCCUGAAGUGGAGCUACAUCCUCUCAGGAGGAACAGCAAGGUAACCAGCGGGAAGAAGCAGGCCUCCAAGAAGUAGUGCCAUCCUGGCGGCAGCCAAGUAAGCCAGGCCCCGGACCGGGGUGCUGGGGCUUCCUGCCAGCCCAGCCCUGCCUCCCCGGUCUCCCACCCUGUCCUCCAAGCCUCUGUAAUAAACCAGCAGACCUCCAGCAUCGGGGUGAGGCUCUGGGGAAGGACAGACCUAGCUCAGUCUGUCUGCUGUGAGGCCCCCAACAGACUUGUUCCAGGUCAAGUCUUUGGAAACUCGGUUUCCCCAAUAUAGAGCUUCCUCUGCGGCCAGUUAAGUCAGCUGAGGCCCUCCCACGCUCAAGGAAAGAAAUGUUUCCCUCCAAGGGGUAGCUCCAGGGUAGGUGACCCAGUAACGCCCGGGAUGCUCAGAUGGGACUGAACUGGGUCUCCUACCCUUCCUGGGUGGGGGAGGCUCAGUCUAUAGCCUAGGUGGAAAACACAGCAAGAAGAGAACAGUGAAGAGGCAGAGAGAAAGGCCAGAGACAGGGAAGAAGAGACAAAGGGAGAAAUGAGAGGAGGAGCAAGGAGACAGAGGAAGACACAAGUGAGCGGGCAAGGGAGAGGGUAAGAAAGAAGAUGGAGGAGGGAGAAGGAGAGAGGAAGAGU